AGUGAACGCUGGCGGUAGGCCUAACACAUGCAAGUCGAACGGCAGCACAGUAAGAGCUUGCUCUUACGGGUGGCGAGUGGCGGACGGGUGAGGAAUACAUCGGAAUCUACUUUUUCGUGGGGGAUAACGUAGGGAAACUUACGCUAAUACCGCAUACGACCUACGGGUGAAAGCAGGGGAUCUUCGGACCUUGCGCGAUUGAAUGAGCCGAUGUCGGAUUAGCUAGUUGGCGGGGUAAAGGCCCACCAAGGCGACGAUCCGUAGCUGGUCUGAGAGGAUGAGCAGCCACACUGGAACUGAGACACGGUCCAGACUCCUACGGGAGGCAGCAGUGGGGAAUAUUGGACAAUGGGCGCAAGCCUGAUCCAGCCAUACCGCGUGAGUGAAGAAGGCCUUCGGGUUGUAAAGCCCUUUUGUUGGGAAAGAAAAGCAGCAGGUUAAUACCCCGCUGUUCUGACGGUACCCAAAGAAUAAGCACCGGCUAACUUCGUG
rnacentral:rRNA from 1 species